rnacentral:rRNA from 1 species
CAGCAGUGGGGAAUAUUGCACAAUGGGCGCAAGCCUGAUGCAGCCAUGCCGCGUGUAUGAAGAAGGCCUUCGGGUUGUAAAGUACUUUCAGCAGUGAGGAAGGUGGAGUCGUUAAUAGCGGCCUCAUUUGACGUUAGCUACAGAAGAAGCACCGGCUAACUCCGUGCCAGCAGCCGCGGUAAUACGGAGGGUGCGAGCGUUAAUCGGAAUUACUGGGCGUAAAGCGCAUGCAGGUGGUUUGUUAAGUCAGAUGUGAAAGCCCGGGGCUCAACCUCGGAAUUGCAUUUGAAACUGGCAGACUAGAGUACUGUAGAGGGGGUAGAAUUUCAGGUGUAGCGGUGAAAUGCGUAGAGAUCUGAAGGAAUACCAGUGGCGAAGGCGGCCCCCUGGACAGAUACUGACACUCAGAUGCGAAAGCGUGGGGAGCAAACAGGAUUAGAUACCCUGGUAG